AUGGGUGUUAAACUUUAAAUACCAAGAAUAUAUGAAGACUUUCUGAAAGCAUUAAAUAUGGACAAGGCUACUCUUUGCUGAUUUAAAUAGCUCUCUGAAGACCUUAGGACAUCAGUUCUUGCCAUGGCAACACUGGUGAAAACUGUAUAUUGGCUCCAUGAAGGGGAGCAUCUUCUUCACCAACACUGGGGCCUCUGUUCUGUUAGCAUUGUGCUCUAGAGAAGAGGAACUUCUGGUUUGAGCUAGCAGCUGGAUGUCAGCUGUUGCUUGUGUCAGCUGACUCUUUUGAGAAGCAACUCAGAGAAAGCGACUCUUUGUGACCCCAUGGACUGAAAUCUGCUAAGCUACUCCAUCCAUGAGAUUUCCCAGGCACAAGUAAUGGAGUGGCUUCCCAUUUCCUCUUCCAGAGAAUAUUCCUGCCCCAGAGGUGGAAACUGUAUCUCCUGCAUUGCAGGGUACGCAUUAUAAAGAAACUGAGGCAGACAGAUAUGAACUCAACCACGAUUACAGAGCUGGCAGGCCCUUCACCAGGAGUGCCACCUGGGAAGCCCUCUGAAACCACAGCGAUGUCUACAAAAG
ensembl:lncRNA